CCCUGGGGGAAUUUUACAAUCCAAAGGUGGCCAGACACUUUGCUGUUGGUGAACAUUUAUUAGAAUGACUGCUAUCUCUUCUGAUUUGCAAAUUUACAUAGAAUGAUAUGGCUUCUAUCCCCUGAAGAUGUUCCCCUGCCAGCUUUCAACAGUUAUUGUGCAGUAAAGCAAAACAGUCAACUACACAGUCAAGUUGAGGAUUAAAAACGGUCUAGUAAGAAAGUUUGAAUGGCACACAGGUAGAGACGCCGCCGGCUGGGGCAGAUCUCCCUGCAAACUGCACGGAUUACUAUACAGUCCAGUAUCAUCGUCAGAAACAUUGCGGAUACUGGAGGAAUAGGAUCGGACCAGAAAUACACAUCGAUAAAGUACACAUCACAGUGAUGUCUAGUGGUACGCUCCCCGCACCUCCAGCUAUUGACUUGCCGUCUGCUGUAUGGACACGUGGAAUAAAGCAUCGUUUGGCA